rnacentral:rRNA from 1 species
UACGUAGGGUGCGAGCGUUGUCCGGAAUUAUUGGGCGUAAAGAGCUCGUAGGCGGUUUGUCGCGUCUGCUGUGAAAACUGGGGGCUCAACCCCCAGCCUGCAGUGGGUACGGGCAAACUAGAGUGCGGUAGGGGAGAUUGGAAUUCCUGGUGUAGCGGUGGAAUGCGCAGAUAUCAGGAGGAACACCGAUGGCGAAGGCAGAUCUCUGGGCCGUAACUGACGCUGAGGAGCGAAAGCGUGGGGAGCGAACAGG